rnacentral:rRNA from 1 species
GAUUAACGCUGGCGGCGUGCAUACCACUUGCAAGUCGAACGAUGAAGCUUUUUUGAUUUCUUCCUAAUGAUUAAAAGUGGAUUAGUGGCGGACGGGUGAGUAACGCGUGAGUAACCUGCCUUAGAGAAGGGGAUAGCCUUUGGAAACGAAGAAUAAUACCCUAUGAAACCAUAACCUCGCAUGAGGCCUUGGUCAAAGAUUUAUCGCUCUAAGAUGGACUUGCGUCUGAUUAGUUAGUUGGUGGGGUAACGGCCUACCAAGACAGCGAUCAGUAGCCGGCUUGAGAGAGUGUACGGCCACAUUGGGGCUGAGACACGGCCCAGACUCCUACGGGAGGCAGCAGUGGGGAAUUUUGCACAAUGGGGGAAACCCUGAUGCAGCGACGCCGCGUGAUUUAGAAGGCCUUCGGGUUGUAAAAAUCUUUUCUAUGGGAAGAAAAUGACAGUACCAUAGGAAUAAGGACCGGCUAAUUACGUGCCAGCAGCCGCGGUAAUACGUAAGGUCCGAGCGUUGUCCGGAAUCAUUGGGCGUAAAGGGUACGUAGGCGGGUAAGCAAGUUAGAAGUGAAAUCCUAUAGCUCAACUAUAGUAAGCUUUUAAAACUGCUCAUCUUGAGGUAUGGAAGGGAAAGUGGAAUUCCUAGUGUAGCGGUGAAAUGCGCAGAUAUUAGGAGGAAUACCGGUGGCGAAGGCGACUUUCUGGCCAUAACCUGACGCUGAGGUACGAAAGCGUGGGUAGCAAACAGGAUUAGAUACCCUGGUAGUCCACGCCGUAAACGAUGAGUGUUAAGUGUCUGGAGUAAAUCUGGGUGCCGCAGCUAACGCAUUAAACACUCCGCCUGGGGAGUAUGCGCGCAAGCGUG